GUGAUGCUCACUUCAGAACCACUUAUACUAAAGUUGGAACAAUACAGAGGAGAUUAGCAUGGCCCCCUCCAAGGAUGACAUGCAAAUUUGUAACACAUCUAUGUUUUAA
ensembl:snRNA U6 U6 spliceosomal RNA